rnacentral:rRNA from 1 species
GAUGAACGCUGGCGGCGUGCCUAAUACAUGCAAGUCGAGCGAACAGACGAGGAGCUUGCUCCUCUGACGUUAGCGGCGGACGGGUGAGUAACACGUGGAUAACCUACCUAUAAGACUGGGAUAACUUCGGGAAACCGGAGCUAAUACCGGAUAAUAUAUUGAACCGCAUGAUUCAAUAGUGAAAGACGGUUUUGCUGUCACUUAUAGAUGGAUCCGCGCCGCAUUAGCUAGUUGGUAAGGUAACGGCUUACCAAGGCAACGAUGCGUAGCCGACCUGAGAAGGGAGUCAGCCACCCCUGAACGGGAACGAGGGACAGACCCCCAACGGAAGGAAGGAGGAGGGAAGUUCCCGUAAUGGCUGAAAGCUUGACGGACCAAGCCAGGGCGAGUGAAGAAGGUUUGCGGUUGGAAAAGUUAACUGAUUAGGAAAGAGAAAAAUUGUAAGUACGUGUGCCCGGUUGACGGUAACCUAUUAAUAAGCCCCGGCUAACUUCGUG